rnacentral:rRNA from 1 species
GCAGGACUAUACUGCAGUCGAGCGGACCGACGGGAGCUUGCUCCCUUAGGUCAGCGGCGGACGGGUGAGUAACACGUGGGUAACCUGCCUGUAAGACUGGGAUAACUCCGGGAAACCGGGGCUAAUACCGGAUGCUUGAUUGAACCGCAUGGUUCAAUCAUAAAAGGUGGCUUUUAGCUACCACUUACAGAUGGACCCGCGGCGCAUUAGCUAGUUGGUGAGGUAACGGCUCACCAAGGCGACGAUGCGUAGCCGACCUGAGAGGGUGAUCGGCCACACUGGGACUGAGACACGGCCCAGACUCCUACGGGAGGCAGCAGUAGGGAAUCUUCCGCAAUGGACGAAAGUCUGACGGAGCAACGCCGCGUGAGUGAUGAAGGUUUUCGGAUCGUAAAACUCUGUUGUUAGGGAAGAACAAGUACCGUUCGAAUAGGGCGGUACCUUGACGGUACCUAACCAGAAAGCCACGGCUAACUACGUGCCAGCAGCCGCGGUAAUACGUAGGUGGCAAGCGUUGUCCGGAAUUAUUGGGCGUAAAGCGCGCGCAGGCGGUUUCUUAAGUCUGAUGUGAAAGCCCCCGGCUCAACCGGGGAGGGUCAUUGGAAACUGGGGAACUUGAGUGCAGAAGAGGAGAGUGGAAUUCCACGUGUAGCGGUGAAAUGCGUAGAGAUGUGGAGGAACACCAGUGGCGAAGGCGACUCUCUGGUCUGUAACUGACGCUGAGGCGCGAAAGCGUGGGGAGCGAACAGGAUUAGAUACCCUGGUAGUCCACGCCGUAAACGAUGAGUGCUAAGUGUUAGAGGGUUUCCGCCCUUUAGUGCUGCAGCAAACGCAUUAAGCACUCCGCCUGGGGGAGUACGGUCGCAAGACUGAAACUCAAAGGAAUUGACGGGGGCCCGCACAAGCGGUGGAGCAUGGUGGUUUAAUUCGAAGCAACGCGGAAGAACCUUACCAGGUCUUGACAUCCUCUGACACCCUAGAGAUAGGGCUUCCCCUUCGGGGGCAGAGUGACAGGUGGUGGCAUGGCGUCGUCAGCUCGUGUCGUGGAGAUGUGGGGUAGUCCCGCACGAGGCCGCCACCCUGAUCUAGUGCAGCAUUCAGUUGGCACCUCUAAGGUGACCUGGCGCGGGGGGACAACCGGAGAAAGGUGGGGAUUAACGUUCAAUCAUACAUGGCCGUUAUAGAACCUUGGGGCUUACACGGGUGUCUUA